UACGGGGGGGGCAAGCGUUGUUCGGAAUUACUGGGCGUAAAGGGCUCGUAGGUGGCCAACUAAGUCGGACGUGAAAUCCCUCAGCUUAACUGGGGAACUGCGUCCGAUACUGGAUGGCUUGAGUUCGGGAGAGGGAUGCGGAAUUCCAGGUGUAGCGGUGAAAUGCGUAGAUAUCUGGAGGAAUACCGGUGGCGAAGGCGGCAUCCUGGACCAUUACUGACGCUGAAUCGCGAAAGCUAGGGGAGCAAACGGG
rnacentral:rRNA from 1 species